UGUGCCAGCAGCUGCGGUUAUACAAAAAAUACAAGUAAAUUUUAUUAAAUUAAGUUAAAUUGAUAAGUAUUUAAUAAUAAAAAAAUUUUUAGGUGAAAUUUUAAUUUUUUUAUUUUUAAAAUUAAAAGAAAUGUUGAAGCUAAAAAAUUUUGUUAAUAAACUAGGAUUAGAUACCCUAUUAUAAAAAAAUGUAUUUUUGAAAAAAAUUAGAGUAGUAAUAGUUAUGGUCUUGAAACUCAAAAAAUUUGGCGGUAUUUUAGUCUAUUCAGAGGAACCUGUGGUGUAAUCGAUAAUCCACGAUGAAUCUUACUUAUUUUUGUUUUUCAAUUUGUAUACCGCCGUUAUUUAAAAAUUUUUUGAAAAUAAUAAUUUUUAUAAUUUUUUAUUAAAUAGAAAGUCAGGUCAAGGUGCAGUUUAUAUUUAAGUAUUUCAUGGGUUACAAUAAAUUUAUUUAUACGGAUUAAAUUAUGAAAUUAGUUUAUGAAGGGGGAUUUGGUAGUAAAUUUUUAAAGAUUAAAAAAUUGAU
rnacentral:rRNA from 1 species